rnacentral:rRNA from 1 species
GACGAACGCUGGCGGCGUGCUUAACACAUGCAAGUCGAACGGAAAGGCCCUGCUUUUGUGGGUUUUGCGAGUGGCGAACGGGUGAGUGACACGAGAGUGUACGGACCCUGCCUUUGGGAGAACAAUAGGAGACUGGGGUUAUUACCGGAAAGGAGCAUGUGCUACAUAUUGGGUGUUGGAAAGGGGAGGCGGGUGGUGAUGGACUCGCGGGUUUUGAGUUUGUUUGUGGGGUAGUGGGGUACCAAGGCUUUGACGGGUAGCCAGCCUGAGAGGGUGACCGGACCCAUUGGGACUGAGGUAGAGCCCAGACUGCUACGGGAGGCAGGAGUGGGGAAUAAUGCACGAUGGGCGGAGGCCUGAUGCAGGAACGCCGCGUGCGGGAUGACGGCCUUCGGGUUGUAAACCGCUUUCGCCUGUGACGAAGCGUGAGUGACGGUAAUGGGUAAAGAAGCACCGGCUAACUACGUG